UGUUACUAUAUCAUGUGGAACAUAUUAUAAGAGAGGAGAAAAUGAUGGCUGCCCAGGAGAUAAUUCAGCUAUUUUUUGAGCUCAUAAGUGUUCAUCUUCCAAUAAUUGAGGCACAAAGGGCUAGUUGUGGCAUUACUUGGAAAAGAAACUACUGCUGGUGAUUUUCUGGUUGAAGAUGUUCUAGAGGCUGGCCUAGCACAACAAAUAGAGCAACCACUUCAAUCAGGUAUAUCAUGACACAAAUGUGUAUUCUAAGGAUGGAAUAUAUGAGAUAAGGAGGGUAUGGAUAGACUAUUUUGUAAAUAAGUGCAUAUAAAUGUUUAUUAUGUGAUUUAGAUGGAAUUACAUUAUAUAUAUAAUGAUAGAUUAAUGUUAGGGUUA